GCGGCGGUGGCGGAACGGCAGACGCGCUAGCCUCAGGAGCUAGUGAGCUUCGGCUCGUGGAGGUUCAAAUCCUCUCCGCCGCACCA
rnacentral:tRNA from 1 species